rnacentral:rRNA from 1 species
CCUACGGGAGGCAGCAGUGAGGAAUAUUGGUCAAUGGACGAGAGUCUGAACCAGCCAAGUAGCGUGAAGGAUGACUGCCCUAUGGGUUGUAAACUUCUUUUAUAUGGGAAUAAAACGUUCCACGUGUGGGAUUUUGUAUGUACCAUAUGAAUAAGGAUCGGCUAACUCCGUGCCAGCAGCCGCUGUAAUACGGAGGAUCCGAGCGUUAUCCGGAUUUAUUGGGUUUAAAGGGAGCGUAGGUGGAUUGUUAAGUCAGUUGUGAAAGUUUGCGGCUCAACCGUAAAAUUGCAGUUGAAACUGGCAGUCUUGAGUACAGUAGAGGUGGGCGGAAUUCGUGGUGUAGCGGUGAAAUGCUUAGAUAUCACGAAGAACUCCGAUUGUGAAGGCAGUUCACUGGACUGCAACUGACACUGAGGCUCGAAAGUGUGGGUAUCAAACAGGAUUAGAUACCCGGGUAGUC